AUGAGCUCCACGCAGUUCAACAAGGGGCCCUGCACGGGCUCUCGGCCGAGGUCAAGGACCGGCUGCAGUCCAAAUAUGACCCUCAGGAGGAGGUGGAGCUCUGAAGCUGGAUUGAGGGACUCACUGGCCUCUCCGUUGGCCUGGACUUCCAGAAGGGUCUGAAGGAUGGGAUCAUAUUGUGCACACUCAUGAAUAAACUGCAGCCAGGCUCAAUCCCUAAGAUCAGCCGCUCCAUGCAGAAGUGGCACCAGCUAGAAAACCUCUCCAGCAUCAUCAAGGCCAUGGUGAGCUGCGGCAUGAAUCCUGUUGACCUGUUCGAGGCUAACGACCUGUUUGAAAGGGGGAACUUGACUCAGGUGCAGGCGUCUCUUCUUGCCCUGGCUGGGAAGGCCAAGACAGAGGGGCUGCAGAGUGCUGUGGACAUUGGCGUCAAAUACUCGGAGAGGCAGGAGCGAAACUUUGAUGAUGCCACCAUGAAGGUGGGCCAGUGCGUCAUUGGGCUCCAGAUGGGCACCAACAAAUGUGCCAGCCAGUCCGGCAUGACAGCUGACGGCACCAGACGGCAUCUGUACGACCCCAAAAACCAUAUCCUGCCCACCAUGGACCACUCGACCGUCAGCCUCCAGAUGGGCACAAACAAGUGUGCCAGCCAGGUGGGCAUGACGGCUCCAGGGACCUGGCGGCACAUUUACGACACAAAGCUGGGGGCAGGCAAAUGUGGUAAUUCCUCCAUGUCCCUGCAGAUGGGCUACACACGGGGUGCCCACCAGAGCGGUCAGGUGUUUGGCCUGGGCCGGCAGAUAUACGACCCCAAGUACUGCCCUCAAGGCUAGUGGCCGAUGGGGCUCCGGCAGCUGCUGGAGAUGGCCCAGGCCCAGGGGAGCCCUCAGAGUGCCCUCCCUACUACCAGGAGGAGGCAGGCUACUGAGACACCCGUGCGGGCCAUCUCCCCACAUCAUCACCCCA